rnacentral:rRNA from 1 species
GUAGGUGGCAAGCGUUGUCCGGAAUUAUUGGGCGUAAAGCGCGCGCAGGCGGUCCUUUAAGUCUGAUGUGAAAGCCCACGGCUCAACCGUGGAGGGUCAUUGGAAACUGGGGGACUUGAGUACAGAAGAGGAAAGCGGAAUUCCAAGUGUAGCGGUGAAAUGCGUAGAGAUUUGGAGGAACCCCAGUGGCGAAGGCGGCUUUCUGGUCUGUAACUGACGCUGAGGCGCGAAAGCGUGGGGAGCAAACAGGAUUAGAUACCCUGGUAGUCCACGCCGUAAACGAUGAGUGCUAAGUGUUAGGGGGUUUCCCGCCCCCCUUAGUGCUGCAGCUAACGCAUUAAGCACUCCGCCUGGGGAGUACGGCCGCAAGGCUG